rnacentral:rRNA from 1 species
CAGUAGCCGCGGGAAAACGGAGGGUGCAAGCGUUAAUCGGAAUUACUGGGCGUAAAGCGCACGCAGGCGGUCUGACAAGUCAGAUGUGAAAUCCCCGGGCUUAACCUGGGAACUGCAUUUGAAACUGGCAGGCUAGAGUCUUGUAGAGGGGGGUAGAAUUCCAGGUGUAGCGGUGAAAUGCGUAGAGAUCUGGAGGAAUACCGGUGGCGAAGGCGGCCCCCUGGACAAAGACUGACGCUCAGGUGCGAAAGCGUGGGGAGCAAACAGGAUUAGAUACCCCAGUAGUCCCUGUCUCUUAUAC